CCCCUCUCAGGGUCACACCUGGAGAGUAUCCAGUAUUCUACCAGCCUUGACUAUGGGAGGAAGAGUCAAGCCGAGGCAUAUCCAUUCCAUUCUUAGCUUGGGCAGUGGCCAGAGAGUGGAAGGCAAUCUACUACAAGU
rnacentral:snoRNA from 1 species